rnacentral:rRNA from 1 species
CAAUAGCGUAUAUUUAAGUUGUUGCAGUUAAAAAGCUCGUAAUUGGAUUUCGGAUGGGCUUGACCGGUCCGCCGUUUGGUGUGCACUGGUCGUGCCUAUCUUGCUGCCGGGGACGCGCUCCUGGCCUUAAUUGGCUGGGACGCGGAGUCGGCGAUGUUACUUUGAAAAAAUUAGAGUGUUCAAAGCAGGCCUAAGCUCUGAAUACAUUAGCAUGGAAUAACGCUAUAGGACUCUGGUCUUAUUGCGUUGGUCUUCGAGACCGGAGUAAUGAUUAAGAGGGACAGUUGGGGGCAUUCGUAUUUCAUUGUCAGAGGUGGAAAUUCUUGGAUCUAUGAAAGACGAACUUCUGCGAAAGCAUUUGCCAAGGAUGUUUUCAUUA